rnacentral:tRNA from 1 species
CCGACCUUGGCUCAGUUGGUAGAGCGGAGGACUGUAGAUCCUUAGGUCACUGGUUCGAAUCCGGUAGGUUGGA